rnacentral:rRNA from 1 species
AAACAUAACCUUUAGCCAAACCAAUAUUAAAGGCAACACCUGCCCGGUGAACAAUUAAACGGCCGCGGUACCCUAACCGUGCAAAGGUAGCAUAAUCAUUUGUCUACUAAUUAUAGACCUGUAUGAAAGGUAAAAUGAGGGUCCAACUGUCUCUUAUAAUAAAUCAAUUAAACUGAUCCCCCAGUAAAAAAGCUGGGAUACCCACAUAAGACCAGAAGACCCUGUGAAGCUUAAACUAACAAUUAAACCAAAUAAUAACUACUUUCGGUUGGGGCGACCUUGGAAAAAAAAAGAACUUCCAAAUACACGAUCUUACCUCGAACUAACAGGCCCACAAGCCACCAAAUAUUGACCCAGCAAAGCUGAUAAACGAACCAAGUUACUCCAGGGAUAACAGCGCAAUCUUCUUCAAGAGCCCAUAUCAAAAGGAAGGUUUACGACCUCGAUGUUGGAUCAGGACAUCCUAAUGGCGCAGCCACUAUWAAGGGUUCGUUUGUUCAACGAUUAAUAGUCCUACGUGAUC